GCCACAAGAGUCACGCUGUUACCCUUCCUGCCUCCUCCUCGCUCAUUUACUUUCCAGACACCACGGAGGGCAGGUGUGGCGGCCGCUGCUGGGAAUAUAGUGAAGGAUUAAUUAAAAAGGUGCUGUGUCGAGAGGCUUGACGGGGACGAGCCAGUGUUGCCAACUAGCCAGGAGUGAGAGCAACCUUUGAGAUCCCUGCCCAGCGUGGGGAAGGAAGGGAGGCACCAGUGUGAGGAGCGUUGGGAGGCUGCAGCUGGUGUAGUGGUGUGGUGAGCGAAGGAGCGUGUUGGAUUCAAGUGUGUCAUCAGUGGACUGUGCAGGUUAGAAUUAUGUGCAGUCAGUUAGUCCUGCGAGAGUGCCUUCAAGAUAUCCAAUUUUUAUCAAGUUGAUACACCCGCGUUCAGUGGUGCGCAGAAGCUUGUCCUUCCCGCCCGUUGCCGUCGCAGCGUUGAGUGCUCCGUAACAACGGUCUGCUGCUGAUGAUGUUCUACCGAGGCGAAACCUGGAAAGUAGAAAACAGAUUGGUCAGAAGGGUAUAUUAUAAGUAACCGGUUGAGUCCUAAAUCUUGCCUUCUGGAUGAAAGGAAAACUGUCCUAAUUAAAUUACAUAUCUGCAUAUAAAAAAAAAU
rnacentral:lncRNA from 1 species